AUGCACUGUCCAGGUUUGGGUUUUGUGCUGGGAACAGAAUAUGAAAGAAAGAAGAAGAAGCUUCAACAGGAGCUGCAACAGGACUACAAACUCUACAUUUUCCAGAAAAAGGAUUGGAAACCAAAUAAACAUAAUUUUGCAGAUGAUGCUGGUCUAUCCUUUCCCACUGAUAACAUGUCUGUGAGGGUACGUGUUCACUCUUUUGUCUUUGUGCAUGUGUAGUAAUUUCUGUUUCAGUUCAGUAAGUGAUUCCAUAGGAACACUUUGUAUUG
rnacentral:lncRNA from 1 species